GAGUAAGGGUCUUCUAGGCCCGAUCUCCCAACCCUUUGUUUAUUAAACCACUGUUGCUUCGGCGGGCCCGUCUUCAUUGACCGCCGGGGGACCGUCAAAACGUCCUCUGGUCCGCGCCCGUCGGUGGCCAACCAUUACAAACUCAUAACUAAACGUGUCAUUAUCUGAAUAUUAUAUUAAAUAAAGCAAAAACUUUCAACAACGGAUCUCUUGGUUCUGGCAUCGAUGAAGAACGCAGCGAAAUGCGAUAAGUAAUGCGAAUUGCAGAAUUCCAGUGAGUCAUCGAAUCUUUGAACGCACAUUGCGCCCUUUGGCAUUCCGAAGGGCAUGCCUGUUCGAGCGUCAUUAUCACCCCUCAAGCCCCCGGCUUGGUGUUGGACGGUCGGUGGGACUACUUUUGUGUUCCCACCCCUCCCAAAGACAAUGACGCGGCCUCGUUGGACCCCCGGUACACUGAGUUCUUAACCGAGCACGUACUGGAUCAGGGCCCGCGGGACACGGUCUGCCUCCCCUCAGGGAGAAUUUUUACAAGGUUGACCUCGGAUCAGG
rnacentral:rRNA from 1 species